rnacentral:pre_miRNA from 1 species
UUUAUACUGCCUCCAUCCGGAAAUACUUGCCAUCAAAAUAGAUAAAAGGGGGUGUAUCUAGACAUAUUUUAGUUAUAGAUACAUCUCUUUUCAUCAAUUUUGAUGACAAAUAUUUUCGGACGGAGGGAGUACCUG